GACGAACGCUGGCGGCGUGCUUAACACAUGCAAGUCGAACGGAAAGGCCCUGCUUGCAGGGUACUCGAGUGGCGAACGGGUGAGUAACACGUGGGUGAUCUGCCCUGCACUUCGGGAUAAGCCUGGGAAACUGGGUCUAAUACCGGAUAGGAGCCAUUUUUAGUGUGAUGGUUGGAAAGUUUUUUUCGGUGUAGGAUGAGCUCGCGGCCUAUCAGCUUGUUGGUGGGGUAAUGGCCUACCAAGGCGGCGACGGGUAGCCGGCCUGGGAGGGUGGACGGCCACAUUGGGACUGAGAUACGGCCCAGACUCCUACGGGAGGCAGCAGUGGGGAAUAUUGCACAAUGGGCGCAAGCCUGAUGCAGCGACGCCGCGUGGGGGAUGACGGCCUUCGGGUUGUAAACUCCUUUCGCUAGGGACGAAGCUUUUUGUGACGGUACCUAGAUAAGAAGCACCGGCUAACUACGUG
rnacentral:rRNA from 1 species